AAGGAUCAUUAUUGAAAAUGUGUGGGUCUAAAAAGCCCAUCACUCUUCUCUAAACCAUUGUGAAUCUACCUUAUUGCUUUGACAGGUUUCCCAUUGUAAGAGAUGGGUCAGGUGAAUUGGGUCUUCAAGACUUGAUUCGCGCCUGUCAAACAACAUUUAUCACUCUUUCUUUUUAGUCUGACUAUAAAUUGUCUUUUGACAAAAACAUAAUAAAACUUUCAACAAUGGAUCUCUUGGCUCUGGCAUCGAUGAAGAACGCAGCGAAAUGCGAUAAGUAAUGUGAAUUGCAGAAUUCAGUGAAUCAUCGAAUCUUUGAACGCACAUUGCGCCCUCUGGUAUUCCGGAGGGCAUGCCUGUUUGAGUGUCAUUAAUCUCUCACAUUCCCAAUUGUGUCUUAAAAACCGAUUGGGCAAUGUUGGUGUUGGGAGCUGCGUUUGCCCUUCAAAGGCGAACGCUCUCCUUAAAUGUACUGCUGCGGCCUGUUUGCCUUGUCAUACACAACGUUCUAGGUUCGUCCAACUCGUUGAAGACUUGUUGCUUACAUUUGUGCUGCAGCUAAAGCCCGCCUUGUUGCCUUGAGCACUUGUGCACUUUCAUUUAUUGACCUCAGAUCAGGUAGGAAUACGCGCUGAACUUAA
rnacentral:rRNA from 1 species